GAAAGCAGCAGUUAUUCAGCCAGAUCAUGUUCUCCCCAGUUUUAUAUAAAUAUUUAUUAAUGUUGAGCUGCGCAGAAGUGAAGGUGGAAAGGUAUCUGACAUGGUCAAGGAAUCCUGAGCUCAGCUUCUUUGCAGGUUUUAACAAGAUCCUCCACUGCUUCUCGUCCUCUAAAGGCCAGAACUCUGAAGCAGCCUAG
rnacentral:lncRNA from 1 species